rnacentral:rRNA from 1 species
GACGAACGCUGGCGGCGUGCUUAACACAUGCAAGUCGAACGGUGAAGGGACCAGCUUGCUGGUUCUGGAUGAGUGGCGAACGGGUGAGUAACACGUGAGUAACCUGCCCCCUUCUUCUGGAUAACCGCAUGAAAGUGUGGCUAAUACGGGAUAUUCUGGGUCUGUCGCAUGGCGGGCCCGGGAAAGAUAUUGCUUCGGUGGGGGAUGGGCUCGCGGCCUAUCAGCUUGUUGGUGGGGUGAUGGCCUACCAAGGCGGUGACGGGUAGCCGGCCUGAGAGGGUGGACGGUCACACUGGGACUGAGACACGGCCCAGACUCCUACGGGAGGCAGCAGUGGGGAAUAUUGCACAAUGGGCGCAAGCCUGAUGCAGCGACGCCGCGUGAGGGAUGGAGGCCUUCGGGUUGUAAACCUCUGUCGCCAGUGAAGCAGGCCUGCUCCUUGUGGGUGGGUUGACGGUAGCUGGAUAAGAAGCGCCGGCUAACUACGU